GUCCCUGUAGCGCAAUGGAUAUCGUGUUGGACUUCUAAUCCAAAGAUCGUGGGUCGAAUUUUACCUGGGAUA